AUACUCAGCCAUUGUUCAGUGUACAAUGACUGAGUACACGCUUAAUGAAAUGACUGCCAUAUCAUAUGCUAUGCGAAUGUUGUUGUUACAGUUCGACUUUAUCAGGAAAGAAAUCACUCAGACAUUCCUUAGAUCUAUCAUACAUCAAUUCUAUCAUCCAUCAAGGUCAAAUCGCCUAUAAACAGCAACUGAUGAGGCUACAACAACUUUCAUUCUUGAAUAAUAGCAGCAUAGGAUCUUCAAGACUGCACCAUUACUGCAUGUGCAGAGAUUUCUAUUGACACUCUAAAAGCUGUGAGGAAAUCCAUC
rnacentral:lncRNA from 1 species